rnacentral:rRNA from 1 species
GUCGAUAAAGAACAGUGGCUACAGAUUAUUCAGGUGAUCUUGAUUGUAAGGCUACGUGCGAGCAUGCAGGAGUUUCAUAUUCAAGACGAGAGUAGGGGUCAAGGCAAUCAGAUCUUCGUAGUUCUAUCAUUAACUAGCCGACUAGGGAUGGAAUGGAACAUCACCAAUUCAGUACUAUUGAGGAAUCAAAGUCUUGGGGUACUGGGGGGGAGUAUGUCGCAAGACUGAAACUUGAGAGAGAAGUGGCGGGAGGGCACCACCAGGAGUGGAGCCUGCGCUUAAUUUGAAUCAAAAACGAGGGAGACUACCAGGUCCGGCAUAGUAUGGUUGCGGUGUGCUCGUCGUGGUUCUUGGGUGUGGUCAUGGCCGGUCUUAGUUGGUGGAGUGAUUUGUCUGGUUAAUUCCGAUAACGAACGAGACCUUAACCUGCUAACUAGAUAUUUUCAUUUUAUGAAUAUAUCUAAUAAGAGAGAAAAUAUGCUUUAAGUAUAUGGAAGUUUGAGGCAAUAACAGGUCUGUGAUGCCCUUAUAUGUCCUGGGCUGCACGCGUGCUACACUGAUGCAUACAACAAGUGCCUAGCUAGACAUAGUAUGGCAAUCUGGAAUAUGCAUCGUGAUGGGGAUAGAUCUUUGCAAUUAUAGAUCUUGAACGAGGAAUUCCUAGUAAGUGCAAGUCAUCAUCUUGCAAGAAGAAUAAUGUCCCUGCCCUUUGUACACACCGCCCGUCGCUCCUACCGAUACCGGGUGAUCCGGGAACCUGCUGACCCUUUAAAAAAACAAGAAAUCAAUCCAAGAGGAAGGAGAGUUAGAAGUA